rnacentral:lncRNA from 1 species
CUAAGUCCAGGUUUGAAGAUCAGAAUUUUCAGAUUGCCCAGGGAAGAAACUUCUCUCUCCCUACAGGGUAGUUUGAAAGCUGCUUUCUGGAGCCAUUCUAAGGGGUCGCAUUGCCAGCAGCCUAGGACUCAAGGCUGAUAUGACAAAAAAUUAAAAUAACAUUCAAAAGUUAGCAAAAUUUGCUACUCUAUGAAAACUAGUGGCUAAGGAUGUUUGGAUUUGUCUUUUUUUUCUUCUUCUGCUUAUUCUUCAUAAAGGGGACUCUGGACAAUACCUAAAUGAUGCAUAAACUAAAAACAGGACCCCUUGUUGUAGCAUUUUAUUUCAAGUAAUAAUUCCAGUCUUCUCUUUUGGUAGAGAGAAAAUUGAAAAAAGAAAAAUCAGGGAGUAACAGUUAGUAAAAUUAGGCUAGUCUGCUUAUGGCCAGGGUAGAACUCCAUACACAGAAGCACUUUUUAAGCAACUUAGGACUGAAGAACAUCUCAAAAGCAUCUGAAGAA